rnacentral:rRNA from 1 species
GACGAACGCUGGCGGCGUGCCUAAUACAUGCAAGUCGAACGCUGAAGGAGGAGCUUGCUUCUCUGGAUGAGUUGCGAACGGGUGAGUAACGCGUAGGUAACCUGCCUGGUAGCGGGGGAUAACUAUUGGAAACGAUAGCUAAUACCGCAUAAUAGUAGAUGUUGCAUGACAUUUGCUUAAAAGGUGCAAUUGCAUCACUACCAGAUGGACCUGCGUUGUAUUAGCUAGUUGGUGAGGUAACGGCUCACCAAGGCGACGAUACAUAGCCGACCUGAGAGGGGGAUCGGCCACACUGGGACUGAGACACGGCCCAGACUCCUACGGGAGGCAGCAGUAGGGAAUCUUCGGCAAUGGACGGAAGUCUGACCGAGCAACGCCGCGUGAGUGAAGAAGGUUUUCGGAUCGUAAAGCUCUGUUGUAAGAGAAGAACGAGUGUGAGAGUGGAAAGUUCACACUGUGACGGUAUCUUACCAGAAAGGGACGGCUAACUACGUG